rnacentral:rRNA from 1 species
UGGGGAAUAUUGCACAAUGGGGGGAACCCUGAUGCAGCGACGCCGCGUGAAGGAAGAAGUAUUUCGGUAUGUAAACUUCUAUCAGCAGGGAAGAAAGUGACGGUACCUGACUAAGAAGCCCCGGCUAACUACGUGCCAGCAGCCGCGGUAAUACGUAGGGGGCAAGCGUUAUCCGGAUUUACUGGGUGUAAAGGGAGCGUAGGCGGCCGUGCAAGUCAGAAGUGAAAGCCCGCAGCUCAACUGCGGGACUGCUUUUGAAACUGUGCGGCUAGAUUGCAGGAGGGGCAAGUGGAAUUCCUAGUGUAGCGGUGAAAUGCGUAGAUAUUAGGAGGAACACCAGUGGCGAAGGCGGCUUGCUGGACUGUAAAUGACGCUGAGGCUCGAAAGCGUGGGGAGCAAACAGGAUUAGAUACCC